GUCCCUAAUGGAUGAGGCUAUAGUUUUGAAUGCCUAACAAACCUGAACCAGGAAACCCUUUACCAACAGGAAGUGACCCAGUCUUUCUGCAUGGCAGGUGGCCACGCUGCCACCUGCUCCCUUCCUGUUAGUCAUGACUCCAAGGGUCUUGACAGAGGGUAGUGACAGGCAACUGGAGAUCUGGAAAGAAAAUCUCUCUUCAAAGACCUGAUGUCUCACUGUGUUGCCCAGGCUAUUCUCGAACUCCUGGGCUGAAGAGAUCCUCCUGCCUCGGCCUCCCAAAGUCUUGGGAUUACAGAAAAGAACUCACACAAGCCUGGUGCCAAACCUGGAUGUGUCUCUGUGUCCAGGACUCUGAUUCCUAAAAACAUCGAGUCAUUAUAGAAGACAUCAGGACCACUGAGAAGACAGUCAGGAAAUCAGAGGGGGAGAAGGUCAAGAAGGACGAGGCCCUGCAAUCCUUUUUAUUCCCCUGGUGUCCUCAGGAUGGUGAAUAAGAACUCUAGGAACCUGCACCUGCAAAAGAAGAUCCAGGGCAAUGUAGAGAUUCCACAUCCUGAGCUUUCUUUGAUGUCUUCUUGCCAGCUAUCCCCAAUUCCUGAUUUAGUUCCUCUUAGGGACAGCUAUUCUGAAGGGUCUCAUCAGAGAAGCUUAUUUGGUUUCUAUUGGACAAGGAAUACAUGCAUUAUAAACAUUCCAGAUAAUGUUUAUGUUUCAAAUUGGUUUUUCAGUUCCUUUGCAAUUCUUGCUCAAGUUUUCCUCACCUUCUAAGUCUGAAAAAGUAAUUUCCAAAUCAUGGUGAAGGCAUUAUUGAAAAAUCAGGACCUUGUAGAAUCUUACAGUCAUUUGGCCAGGCUAACGGUUUAACCUGAAAGUGGAAUGGAUUUCCCAUCCGGGUUCCCAUAGUGAACAACUAUGUUUUUGUAACAUAACACAAUGAAGGGAGUUGUCACUAGAUGACUCAGCUAGUUAGAAUCUCAACUCC
rnacentral:lncRNA from 10 species